rnacentral:rRNA from 1 species
GACGAACGCUGGCGGCGUGCCUAAUACAUGCAAGUUGAGCGCUGACGGUUGGUACUUGUACCGACUGGAUGAGCAGCGAACGGGUGAGUAACGCGUGGGGAAUCUGCCUUUGAGCGGGGGACAACAUUUGGAAACGAAUGCUAAUUCCGCAUAAAAACUUUAAACACAAGUUUUAAGUUUGAAAGAUGCAAUUGCAUCACUCAAAGAUGAUCCCGCGUUGUAUUAGCUAGUUGGUGAGGUAAAGGCUCACCAAGGCGAUGAUACAUAGCCGACCUGAGAGGGUGAUCGGCCACAUUGGGACUGAGACACGGCCCAAACUCCUACGGGAGGCAGCAGUAGGGAAUCUUCGGCAAUGGACGAAAGUCUGACCGAGCAACGCCGCGUGAGUGAAGAAGGUUUUCGGAUCGUAAAACUCUGUUGGUAGAGAAGAACGUUGGUGAGAGUGGAAAGCUCAUCAAGUGACGGUAACUACCCAGAAAGGGACGGCUAACUACGUG